UAUGGAGUUACACCCACUUCUUGUCAAAAUCAUUGACACGCCUCAGUUCCAGAGACUACGGAGUAUCAGGCAGCUUUGAACACUCAAUUGGGGUGGCGCAUUUAGCAGGACAGCUUGGACAAGCUCUGAAAACAAAGCAGCCAGAUCUCAACAUCACUGACAGAGACAUCCUCUGCGUACAGAUUGCUGGUCUUUGUCAUGAUCUGGGUAUGGCAGCCUAUGCAGGUGACUUCUAAUUGGAAAAAGGAACUGACUCAAAAGCUCCCUGACGGGCUGACAAAAGAGGACUUAUGCCCAUCGAAAUGAACUAUGGGAUGGAAGACAAGAACCCCAUUGAGGAAAUGUAUUUCUACAGCAAGUCUGACAUAAACACUGCAAAAAAGAUCCCCUAAGACCAGGUGUCCAAAUUUCUCCCAGAUGAAUUUUUUGAGAAGCUGAUCAGGUUUUUCUGUAAGAGGACUGAUGACAAGAGUCUGAAGGGUGCCAAGGAGCACUUUGACAAUUGAUUUAAAGAAAAGGACUUUUCAGUGCCUCAGGAUGGAGACACCAGAGCUCAGCCAUGAGGAAAAUUUCCCCAAAAUGAAUCUGAAGUUUUGGAAGAUCAAAAAUAAAAAGAAAGCAAAAAUUCCCUGACAAA